rnacentral:rRNA from 1 species
UACGUAGGGCGCAAGCGUUGUCCGGAAUUAUUGGGCGUAAAGAGCUCGUAGGCGGCUUGUCACGUCGGGUGUGAAAGCCCGGGGCUUAACCCCGGGUCUGCAUUCGAUACGGGCAGGCUAGAGUGUGGUAGGGGAGAUCGGAAUUCCUGGUGUAGCGGUGAAAUGCGCAGAUAUCAGGAAGAACACCGGUGGCGAAGGCGGCUCGCUGGGCCAGUUCUGACACUCAUCCGCGAAAGCGUGGGGAGCAAACAGG